AAAGGUAAGCUACUAAGAGCGAAUGGUGGAUGCCUUGACUGGUAAAGGCGAUGAAGGACGUACUAGACUGCGAUAAGCUACGGGGAGCUGUCAAGAAGCUUUGAUCCGUAGAUUUCCGAAUGGGGCAACCCAAUGUAUAGAGAUAUACAUUACCUA
rnacentral:rRNA from 1 species